UGGGGUCCUUAUGGGGUCUGAGAGGGCUUAUAGGGUCUUUAUGGGGUCUUAUGGGGUCCUUUUGGAGUCUCUAUGGGGUCUUAUGGGGUCUUUAUGGGAUCUGAGAGAGUUUAUGGGGUCCUUAUGGGGUCUGAGAGGGUUUAUAGGGUCUCUAUGGGGGCUUAUAGGGUCCUUAUGGGGUCUGAGAGGGUUUAUAGGGUCUUCUGGGGGUCUUAUGGGGUCCUUAUGGGGUCUGAGAGGGUUUAUAGGGUCUUUAUGGGGUCCUAUAGGGUUUCUAUGGGAUCUUAUGGGGUCUGAGAGGGUUUAUAGGGUCUUUAUGGGGUCCUAUAGGGUCUCUAUGGGGUUCUAUGGGGUCCUUAUGGGGUCUGAGAGGGCUUAUAGGGUCUUUAUGGGGUCCUUAUGGGGUCUGAGAGGGACGCAUAG
ensembl:lncRNA